rnacentral:tRNA from 1 species
GGGCGUGUAGCUCAGCGGGUAGAGCACAGCUCUUAUAAAGCUGGGGUCGGUGGUUCGAAUCCACCCACGCCCAC